rnacentral:rRNA from 1 species
AUGGUCUCUGGAAAGGACCCAACAACGCGCCUCCAUGAUACGCCUCCAUUGUCGUCAUGGGUAAGAAGUUUGUACUACAACAACACGAUCCUUGAGGCCGCAGACGACAGGCUGAUAGGCGGCGAGUCUAGUACCGGGCGACAACAGAUGGAGCGUGUGCUACUUGUCAGGCUCUUGUGCGUGCACCAGGACCCGAGCAGCCGGCCAUCCAUCACCCACACCAUGGAUGCCGUACGACCGGAGGAGCUGACAUUGGACAUCACUCCCUUGGUGCCGGUGACGAUCUCAAAAGUAGCUAGCAUGCUGACGAUACUUGAUCGUCAGAAUAACAUAUGCUUCAGACUUGGCCAGACAGCACGUAGUACCUUAUUUUCCCACCUAGGAGAUAGCGCAGAAAGGGGUUGCGGCGUUGUCGUUUGGCUUAUAUCUUUCUGCUUAACGGACACUACCAGAGGUCGUCAUUGCCACAUGUACACAGGAUUUGCGCACGGCAUGACGCUGAGGUCCGAGUCCGAUGCCCCGGGCAGCUGGCUGUUGCAAAUGGCUGCUGUGAGCUUCUCCCACCGAACACAGACCCUCGUGCUCCUCCUCUGCUGCUCGACAUGGUCAUCUCUGCACCUGCCUCGUGCUACAUCGCUUUCUUUUAGCACCAACUUCUCCCAGCCCGGCCACGACGCCCAAGACUUCAGUUUCCAGGGCGACGCAUACUACGACUCCCCGUCUCAGAUGAUCCAGCUGACAAGAAGCGGCGUGGAUCCAAGCAUCCAGAACAGCGUAGGCCGAGCGUUCCUCGCGACGCCCAUGCCGCUGUGGGACACCGUCACCGGCGAGCUCGCCCGCUUCACCACAUCCUUCACCUUCCAAAUCAAGGUAAUCAGUGCAAGCAAUGGCGAUGGCAUGGCAUUCUUCCUCGGGCAUUAUCCUCCGACGAGCAUUUCCAAUAACAACAACUUCGGCGGCGGGAAUCUCGGCCUCUUCAACAAAACCGAUGGCACGGCGUACACCAACGCGACCGUGCCUGGCAGGAACCUAACGUCUGGCUUCCCGAUGAGUUGCCAUAUCAGCUACGGCAACGACACGAAAAUACUAGCGGCCGUUCUUGAGAUUGGCGACGUGACCUACCAGGUCAGCACCAGUGUUGACCUGAGUCAGCUCUUGCCCAGUGUGGUGGCCAUCGGCUUCUCGGUUGUGUGCAUCUUUGUUGGCGUCCAUCGAUGGCAGCUAUGCAUGAGGAAGAAGCGAUGCAGAGCUCUCGCCAGGGGGCUUGAACAUAUUGAUUAUCAUAGGCUGGCGCGUGCGGCCAACAAUUUCGCUGAGGAAACCAGGCUCGGGCAAGGAGGUUCCGCCUUUGUUUAUAGGGGCCUGCUAGGAAGUAAUGCUAUGCUCAGAUUCCCUCUUUAA